CUCAGGAUGAACGCUGGCGGCGUAGCCUAACACAUGCAAGUCGAGCGAUCUUCUUCGGAAGAGAGCGGCGGACGGGUGAGUAACGCGUGGGUAACCUGCCCUGUACACACGGAUAACAUACCGAAAGGUAUGCUAAUACGGGAUAACAUACUUUUAUCGCAUGGUAGAAGUAUCAAAGCUCCGGCGGUACAGGAUGGACCCGCGUCUGAUUAGCUAGUUGGUAAGGUAACGGCUUACCAAGGCGACGAUCAGUAGCCGACCUGAGAGGGUGAUCGGCCACAUUGGAACUGAGACACGGUCCAAACUCCUACGGGAGGCAGCAGUGGGGAAUAUUGCACAAUGGGCGAAAGCCUGAUGCAAGCAACGCCGCGUGAGCGAUGAAGGCCUUCGGGUCGUAAAGCUCUGUCCUCAAGGAAGAUAAUGACGGUACUUGAGGAGGAAGCCCCGGCUAACUACGUGCCAGCAGCGGC
rnacentral:rRNA from 1 species